rnacentral:lncRNA from 1 species
UUCUGGAUCUCUCCUGAGAUCUCCCUUGGUCCUUCAUGGAUUCCUGGGUGCACCCAAAAUCUUUUAAUUCUCCCUUUGUUCUGGGUCCUUCUUGUGAUCCCCUUUGGUCCUUCAUGGACACCAGGGUGCCCCCAAACUCAUCCCUGGAGCAUCUGGUUCCCCCUGAGCCCCCUAACCUGGUGUCCCCCCAAUCCCUGGGUGCCCCCCUUGGAGCCCCUGACCCCGCUGUCCCCCCAGAGCACGGAGGGGGACAGCGAGGACACGGACCUGCAGAUCUUCUGCGUGUCCUGUGGCCACCCCAUCAACCCCAAGGUGGCCCUGAGGCACAUGGAGCGCUGCUACGCCAAGGUGAGGUCUGGGGGCACCUCUGGGUUCCUGGGGGUUCCUGGGGUCUGUGGGAUCAUCCGUGGGGUCUGUGGGGUUUUCCAUGGCACUCUGGGCUGCUGUGGGAUCAUCCAUGGGAUGUGGGUGCCCCUACUUGUUCUUGGGAUCUGUGGGAUCAUCCAUGGGAUCGUCUGUGGGGUCUGUGGGAUCAUCUCUGGGAUCUGUGGCAUCAUCCAUAGGGUGUGUGGGAUCAUCCAUGUGAUCAUCUGUGGGAUCAUCCGUGGGAUCUGGGUGCCCCUGUUUGUUCUUGGGAUCUGUGGGAUCAUCCGUGGGGUCUGUGGGAUCAUCUGUGGGAUCAUCUCUGGGGUCUGUGGCAUCAUCCACAGGGUCUGUGGGAUCAUCCGUAGGGUCUGUGGGAUCAUCCAUGGGAUCAUCCAUGGGGUCUGUGGGAUCAUCCAUGGGAUCUGGGUGCCCCUGUUUGUUCUUGGGAUCUGUGGGAUCAUCCAUGGGGUCUAUGGGAUCAUCUCUGGGAUCUGUGGGAUCAUCCAUGGGAUCAUCUGUGGGAUCAUUCAUGGGGUCUAUGAGAUCAUCCAUGGGAUCUGGGUGCCCCUGUUUGUUCGUGGGAUCAUCCAUAGGGUCUGUGGGAUCAUCUCUGGGAUCUGUGGAAUCAUCCGUGGGGUCUGUGGGAUCAUCCAUGGGGUCUGUGGGAUCAUCUCUGGGAUCUGUGGGAUCAUCCAUGGGAUCGUCCAUGGGGUCUGUGGGAUCAUCUCUGGGAUCUGUGGGGUUUUCCAUGGCACUCUGAGUUCCUGUGGGAUCAUCCACAGGAUCUGUGGGAUCAUCCAUGGGACUCUGUGGGACCUUCUGGGAGAUCCUUUUAUGGGAACUUGGGGAGCCCCCAGGGCUGGGGACCCUCCCCAGAUCCUGCAGGGGCCAUGGGGAUCCCUUUCCUCAGCUUGGGGGUGCUGGGGGGACCCUGGGAAGGAACUUUAGGGGUCUCUGUAGGGUUUGGGGGGGCUGUAGGAACAUGCUGGGAGCUC